AAAGGAGCUAUCCCAGGAGGAAUCCUGCACCUUGUAGCCACUUCCCAGUGGAGAGGGCUUCAGCAGAAGGCUUUGAAGAGCUGGCCGGCUACCCGCAGGCUCCCAGAGCCUUCCCGCUUCCCGACUGCAGAGCACUGGCACAGAAACCCGGGCACCCCCGCUCUGCCAGCUUCCUGAGAAAGGGUAAUGUGCUCUUCAAGCUUAGCAGCUUCUGGGGCAAGCAUUUGCACAGAAACGUCCAUCAUGUGCUGCACUGGAAGUUGGUCAAACGUGGACGUUUUAUUUUAAUUUUUUCUUCCCCAAAUCCAUGAUUGCUUUUGGAAGCUGGAGGAAGGGUGCUUUGCAUCUAAGGGUUUCUCAGAAGUACUCUGCAGUGGCUUAGUCCUGCUGCCACUGAUCUCAGCUGGAAAAGCAUCUGGCACUGAGGACUUGCGUGUUCCUGCUCCUGGGACCUCCAGGCCGCCUCCUGUGCACACGGCAGCAUGUCAAUUUUUGGCUCCAACGUGGAUUGCAACAACAGUGUAAUAUAGCACUUGGUUAGGCCUAAUUAGCACACUGAAAGCUAGCUCUGGUUCUUCCACGUUACUUGUACUGGUGUGCAGAUUUAUCCUGUAUUUUUGCAAUUUGCUCUAAGGGAAAUGGAGUAAUAUCCUUCACCUUAUCCAGAGUUGAAGCACUGCUUUUAACCAUGUGCAGUGACUUGCAUCCUGGAGCUUUAAUUGCACCUGGGACCUGUGCACAAUCUAAUGCAGAAUAAUCACCUGAUGCUAACUGGCUCUGUGUGUCCAUUCAGGACCAGACCUGCUGUGCUCCAUGCUCCUUCCUAAUGAAAUUACUACUGAUCUGUUAGUGCUGUUUUCUUUUCUU